GAUGAACGCUGGCGGCGUGCCUAAUACAUGCAAGUCGAGCGAACAGAUGAGGAGCUUGCUCCUCUGACGUUAGCGGCGGACGGGUGAGUAACACGUGGAUAACCUACCUAUAAGACUGGGAUAACUUCGGGAAACCGGAGCUAAUACCGGAUAAUAUAUUGAACCGCACGGUUCAAUAGUGAAAGACGGUUUUGCUGUCACUUAUAGAUGGAUCCGCGCCGCAUUAGCUAGUUGGUAAGGUAACGGCUUACCAAGGCAACGAUGCGUAGCCGACCUGAGAGGGUGAUCGGCCACACUGGAACUGAGACACGGUCCAGACUCCUACGGGAGGCAGCAGUAGGGAAUCUUCCGCAAAGGGCGAAAGCCUGACGGAGCAACGCCGCGUGAGUGAUGAAGGUCUUCGGAUCGUAAAACUCUGUUAUUAGGGAAGAACAAAUGUGUAAGUAACUAUGCACGUCUUGACGGUACCUAAUCAGAAAGCCACGGCUAACUACGUG
rnacentral:rRNA from 1 species